AGUGAACGCUGGCGGUAGGCCUAACACAUGCAAGUCGAACGGCAGCACAGUAAGAGCUUGCUCUUACGGGUGGCGAGUGGCGGACGGGUGAGGAAUACAUCGGAAUAUACUUUUUCGGGGGGGAUAACGUAGGGAAACUUACGCUAAUACCGCAUACGACCUACGGGGGAAAGCAGGGGAUCUUCGGACCUUGCGCGAGUGAAUGAGCCGAUGACGGAUUAGCUAGUUGGCGGGGUAUAGGCCCACCAAGGCGACGAUCCGUAGCUGGUCCGAGAGGAUGAUCCACCGCUCUUGAGCUGGGAUACGCUCCCGCCCCCGGCGUGAGGCAGCACCGGGACUUCUUGGGCAAUGGGCGGUAGCCUGUUCCAGCCAUUCCGCGUGGGUGAAGACGGCCUUCGGGUUGUAAAGCCCUUUUGUUGGGAAAGAAAAGCAGCAGGUUAAUCCCCCGCUGUUCUGCCGGUACCCAAAGAAUAAGCACCGGCUACCUUCGU
rnacentral:rRNA from 1 species